rnacentral:rRNA from 12 species
AAAAAAAAUAAAAAAAAUGGAAAAGGUGAGUGUUCCACUCCCCCUUACAAAAGAAAAAUAAAAGUGGAAA